rnacentral:rRNA from 1 species
UACAGGGGGUGCAAACGUUGCUCGGAAUUAUUGGGCGUAAAGCGCACGUAGGCGGUUUGUUAUGUCGGAUGUGAAAGCCCUUGGCUUAACUGAGGAAGUGCAUCCGAAACUGGCAAGCUAGAGUACUAAAGAGGGUCGCGGAAUUCCCGGUGUAGAGGUGAAAUUCGUAGAUAUCGGGAGGAACACCGGUGGCGAGGGCGGCGACCUGGGUAGAUACUGACGCUGAGGUGCGAAAGCGUGGGGAGCAAACAGG